GACAACAUUGGAGAAAUUGGUUAUUCUACCAAGGCUUUGGCUGGAAUGGAUGCUUUCCUUUAAGGAAUCAAACUUGACUCAUAAAGUCAAUAAAAGCUGUUUGAGGAGCUGGCCUCAUACCUUGCCUACAGAGUCCCUGUACAGGGUUUCUGACCUGUGCGACUCACCCUGGAUUCUUUCUUCUGUGAGAUCUAAGAACCCUCUUACGGGGUCUGGAUCAGGACCCCUUUCCUGUAACAGUAGGAAAAGGACAUAGUCUCGCUCUGUCACCCAGGCUGAAGUGCAGCGGCAUGAUCUUGGUUGACUCACUGCAAACCCUGCCUCCCAGGUUCAAGCAAUUCUCCUGCCUCAGCCUCCUGAGUAGUUGGGAUUAUAGGCACCCACCAACACACCUUGCUAAUUCUUGUAUUUUUAGUAGAGAUGGGGUUUUGCCACGUUGGCCAACUGGUUUCGAACUCCUGAUCUCAAGUGAUCCAACUGCCUCAGCCUCUCAAACUGCUGGAAUUACAGGGACAUUUCAUGUAGGACCAGGCUGUGCUGCCGUUGAUCACAACUGGGCUUUCUGGAGAAUUCCGCUGUGCUUCUGUGAUCUCGCUGUGGGCCCCAUGCUGGAAGCUCUGCUCCUCUCCCAGUGGGGACUCCACUUCUCAUUUCCUGGGCCUUCUGUUCAUGAUUUGCGGAUGUGACAGAGGAUGAUGUUGGCUCCAUCUGGAAAGUGGGUCAGCCAGUCUUCGAGGAGACACCUUGGAGGCCUAGGAAUAGUGCUCUGGAUACAGAUGACAUAAGCUUAGAGACAGAUAGGAGAGGGAAGAAAGAACUUGACCCUCAGAAAGUGAAAUUCAACUUCAGCCUGAAGUGGAGCAUUGUUCAAGAUAAAGGCUCUGCAAAAUGUACUGUAAAUGAUUCACAACUGUUAUUAAUGCAAAGAUCCAGUUGAAGAAAUUCCCUGAAGAAAAAUCCAUCCUGAUCUCAAAUGCUACCCCCACAGGCCUGCCAGAGCACCGAACUUUCCACAGGCAAAUUGCUGGAUCACUGGGCUAAGGACAGUAAGAAGGGCUGGCCGUGUUAUUCAGGAGGCAAAGUGUGUUGGCACCUAUGGAGACAUUUGUUCCGUUGGCUUAUCAGAUGUGUCAGCCCAGUGACUUGCAAAGGGUGAGGGUGGUCAUGUAGCCCAUGAAGCUCAUUCAUUUGGAGCAAAGACCAUAGAAGAAAUGGAAAUUGAUAAUGAUUUAUUUCCUUCCUUUCCCUUCCCUUUCUGUUCCUUUGUUUUCUUUCUUUAAUUGACCUCAGGAUGUCUGAUUAACCAUAAUCCUUGGUUCCAUAUACUUUAAUCAUUGGUCCACUUAUGAUCUCAUUUAUUUAAUUAUUUUAAAUAGGCACCCAUGAGUCCACCACUUAGUACAAAAACUAGGACAUUGACAAUAUUUUGCAUUUAAAUCUAUAGUCCUUCCCUUUCUCAUCCUCAUAUCUCACUCCACCCAAGGGGCUCAGCUACCUCCUGGAAUCCUGUGUUCACAAUGUCCUUGCUUUUGUUUUUAAAAGUGUGAGUAUCCCACAGUUUAUGUAACUGUUCACCUGUUGAUGAGCCCUUAGGUUGUUUUUAGGUUUUUUAUAUUUAAAUAGUGAUAUAGUAAUGUUAUUGUACCUAUCACAGGGUAAACAUGUGUGAGAACUUCUUUUGGGUAUAUAUCGAGAUGGAAAUUGCUCAUAGAGUAGGUGAAUACUUGACAUCACAAGAUAGUGCAAAUUAUCUUUCAAAACAUACUAAUUUUACAUUUCUACCAGCAGUGCCCUAGACAAUUUGUAGAUCCACAUCCCCUGCAUUUUCUCCAUGUCUGAUGCCAAUAACUUGGGUUUUAUUGGACUUUUAACUUUUUGUCAGGCAUGUAAGUUUCACUUUAUCUCACCGUGUUUUGAUUUGCAUUUCCACACUUAGUAAUGAGGUUGAACAUCCCUUUCAUGUUUACUGGUCAUAUAUGUUUCUUUUGUUUUGAAAUUUCUAUUCAUGUUUUCUGAUCAUUUUUCAAUUGGGAUAGAAGUACUUUUAUACUGAUAUGCAGGAACACUGAUUUUUCUAAAGAAUAAAAAUCUUUCAAAAUUUAAAUUUAGGAUUCUACUCCCAGAUGGAUUUACAGAAAUGAUUUUCUAUAUUAAUAUUAUUUCUAUGUGAGGAAAAUCAUAUUUGCAUGUAAUAUACAGGGAGUAUUAAUGGAAAACAUUCAUGACCUUCUGAAAAUUAUAAUCUUUUUAAACAUUAAUUUAAAAAAUUUAAAAUUAUGAGUACAAAAUGGUUGCUUAUAUUUAUCAAAAUAUGAUGUUUUGAAACAGACGUACAAUGUAUAAUGAUACAUCAGGGUAAUUGGGGUAUCCAUAAUCAUAAGUAUUUAUCAUUUUUUGUGUUAGAAACAUUCCAAUUCUACUCUUUCAGUUAUUUAAAAACAUAUAAUAAAUUAUUAUUAACUGUAGUCGUUCUAUUGUGCUAUCAAAUGUUAGUUCUUACUCAUUCUAUCUCAUUGCACUUUUGCACCCAUUAACCAUCUCCACUUUAUCCCUGACUCCCUGCUCUCCUUCUCGGCCUCUGGUAACCAUCAUUCUAGUCUAUCUCUAUGAGUUCAAAUUUUAAAUUUCAGCUCCCACAUAUGAGUGAGAACAUGCAAUAUUUGUCUUUCUGUGCCUGGCUUAUUUCACAUAACAAAAUAACCUCCAGUUCUAUCCAUGUUGUUGCAAAUGACAAGAUUUCCUUCUUUUUUAUGGCUGAAUAAUAUUCCACUAUGUAUGUUUACCAUGCUUUCUUUAUCCAUCAAAAAUUACAAUCUUAAAUUCAACAAUUUUCAACCACUGUGACCAUUAUCAUCCCGCCUUCCCCACUCGUCUUUAGUGCAAACCACCAUCACCUCUUACUUUGGCUACUUCAACAGCUUCCUAACUGGUUCUUCUGUUUCUUCUCCUACCUUCCCUCUUAAGUCUAUAUGGCAGCCCCUAUGAUUUUGUCACUCCUGGAAAAAUCUCCCCAUGACUUCCCAUAAAGCCCUACAUGAUUUGAUCCUUGCCUCCUCUUUCCAUCCCUAAUUCCCUGGCCUCCAUCCAUGCAGUUGUUGAUGCUAUUCCUGGGAUAGACUGAGCUUGAUCCUGUUGAUAGACCGAGCUUGAUCAGGGCCUUUAUGUUUGUUAUUUUUUUGCCAGGAAAGUUGUUCUCCUGGGUAUUCCUGUCCAUUACUCUUCCACAUCAUUCACUUGUCUGCUCAGUGUUUCCUAAUCAGAGGUGCCUUCCCUGACCUCCAAUCCCUUAUAUAUUCUUAUUCUACUGUAUUUUUUUCAAAGCAUUUAUUACAUCUUAAAAUUAUGUCAUAUUGUGUUUUCAUUUGUUUAUUGUUGUUCUCCUCCGUGGACUGCAAGCACCAUGAUAGCAGAAACAUGACUGUUCACUGCUAUAUCAUUUCCAUCUAGAACAAUUGGAUAUCUUUUACGUAGAACAUCAAAUAUAUUGUCUAGACUAGGACUAUGUCUGGCACAUAGUUGAUGCCCAACAGAUAUUUGCUAAAUAAAAUAAAAU
rnacentral:lncRNA from 1 species